CAGUCUUAGAUCAGCAAUGACCAUCAACUUUGAUGAGCUAUCCUUGAACCUCCAUACUCAUGUCAUUACUUACACGCAGUAGACAGGUCACAGUGUUGACUUUCAAAAGUCAGCCACUAUAACACACCAGACAGGUCACAGUGUUGACUUCCUACAGUCAGCCACUAUAACACAGUAGACAGGUCACAGUGUUGACUUUCUACAGUCAGCCACUAUAACACAGUAGACAGGUCACAGUGUUGACUUUCUACAGUCAGCCACUAUAACACAGUAGACAGGUCACAGUGUUGACUUCCUACAGUCAGCCACUAUAACACAGUAGACAGGUCACAGUGUUGACUUUCUACAGUCAGCCACUAUAACACAGUAGACAGGUCACAGUGUUGACGUUCUACAGUCAGCCACUAUAACACAGUAGACAGGUCACAGUGUUGACUUUCUAAAGUCAGCCACUAUAACACAGUAGACAGGUCACAGUGUUGACUUCCUACAGUCAGCCACUAUAACACAGUAGACAGGUCACAGUGUUGACUUCCUAAAGUCAGCCACUAUAACACAGUAGACAGGUCACAGUGUUGACUUUCUAAAGUCAGCCACUAUAACACAGUAGACAGGUCACAGUGUUGACUUUCUAAAGUCAGCCACUAUAACACAGUAGACAGGUCACAGUGUUGACUUUCUAAAGUCAGCCACUAUAACACAGUAGACAGGUCACAGUGUUGACUUCCUACAGUCAGCCACUAUAACACAGUAGACAGGUCACAGUGUUGACUUCCUAAAGUCAGCCACUAUAACACACCAGACAGGUCACAGUGUUGACUUCCUACAGUCAGCCACUAUAACACAGUAGACAGGUCACAGUGUUGACUUUCUACAGUCAGCCACUAUAACACAGUAGACAGGUCACAGUGUUGACUUUCUAAAGUCAGCCACUAUAACACAGUAGACAGGUCACAGUGUUGACUUCCUACAGUCAGCCACUAUAACACAGUAGACAGGUCACAGUGUUGACUUCCUAAAGUCAGCCACUAUAACACACCAGACAGGUCACAGUGUUGACUUCCUACAGUCAGCCACUAUAACACAGUAGACAGGUCACAGUGUUGACUUUCUACAGUCAGCCACUAUAACACAGUAGACAGGUCACAGUGUUGACUUCCUACAGUCAGCCACUAUAACACAGUAGACAGGUCACAGUGUUGACUUUCUACAGUCAUACACUAUAACACAGUAGACAGGUCACAGUGUUGACUUCCUACAGUCAGCCACUAUAACACAGUAGACAGGUCACAGUGUUGACUUCCUACAGUCAGCCACUAUAACACAGUAGACAGGUCACAGUGUUGACUUCCUACAGUCAGCCACUAUAACACAGUAGACAGGUCACAGUGUUGACUUUCUACAGUCAGCCACUAUAACACAGUAGACAGGUCACAGUGUUGACUUCCUACAGUCAGCCACUAUAACACAGUAGACAGGUCACAGUGUUGACUUUCAACAGUCAGCCACUAUAACACAGUAGACAGGUCACAGUGUUGACUUCCUACAGUCAGCCACUAUAACACAGUAGACAGGUCACAGUGUUGACUUCCUAAAGUCAGCCACUAUAACACACCAGACAGGUCACAGUGUUGACUUCCUACAGUCAGCCACUAUAACACAGUAGACAGGUCACAGUGUUGACUUUCUACAGUCAGCCACUAUAACACAGUAGACAGGUCACAGUGUUGACUUCCUACAGUCAGCCACUAUAACACAGUAGACAGGUCACAGUGUUGACUUUCUACAGUCAUCCACUAUAACACAGUAGACAGGUCACAGUGUUGACUUUCUACAGUCAGCCACUAUAACACAGUAGACAGGUCACAGUGUUGACUUUCUACAGUCAGCCACUAUAACACAGUAGACAGGUCACAGUGUUGACUUUCUACAGUCAUCCACUAUAACACAGUAGACAGGUCACAGUGUUGACUUUCAACAGUCAGCCACUAUAACACAGUAGACAGGUCACAGUGUUGACUUCCUACAGUCAGCCACUAUAACACAGUAGACAGGUCACAGUGUUGACUUCCUACAGUCAGCCACUAUAACACAGUAGACAGUUCACAGUGUUGACGUUCUACAGUCAGCCACUAUAACACAGUAGACAGGUCACAGUGUUGACUUCCUACAGUCAGCCACUAUAACACAGUAGACAGGUCACAGUGUUGACUUCCUACAGUCAGCCACUAUAACACAGUAGACAGGUCACAGUGUUGACUUUCUACAGUCAGCCACUAUAACACAGUAGACAGGUCACAGUGUUGACUUUCUACAGUCAGCCACUAUAACACAGU